GUGUCAGCAGCCGCGGUAAUACGAAGGAGGCAAGCGUUGUUCGGAAUCACUGGGCUUAAAGCGCGUGUAGGCGGGUUGACAGGUACCUUGUGAAAUCCCUUGGCUCAACUGAGGAAUCGCUUGGUAAACCGGCAGUCUUGAGGCAGGUAGAGGUGGGCGGAACUAUGGGUGGAGCGGUGAAAUGCGUAGAGAUCCAUGGGAACACCGGUGGCGAAAGCGGCCCACUAGGCCUGAACUGACGCUGAGACGCGAGAGCGUGGGUAGCAAACAGGAUUAGAUACCCUGGUAGUCC
rnacentral:rRNA from 1 species